UUUCAAUUGUGUUUUUAUCUUCUACUCCUAUGCAUAAAUGAAAAUCAUUGAGUAAAUUAAAACAAACAUCUAGCAAAGUUUUAGGAAAAAUAAAUAAUAGCAAAUAAAAGAGUAUACUAUAUGUCAAGUAGUGGAGUGAUGAUGAUGAGUUCAUUUAGCCUUAAACCCUCUCUCUUAAGUGUAGAAAAGGCAUCAAUAGCAAGGCCUUCAAACUCCAAAUUGAUAGUCAAGGCCAGUGGGGGCAAGAAGAUCACUACCGAUAAACCUUAUGGAAUUAAUGGAGGCUUGAACUUGCAAGAUGGUGUUGAUGCCUCUGGCAGGAAGGCCAAGGGAAAGGGUGUUUACCAAUUCGUGAAGAAAUAUGGAGCUAAUGUUGAUGGA
rnacentral:misc_RNA from 1 species